UAAGGAAUAUUGGACAAUGGUCGCAAGACUGAUCCAGCCAUGCCGCGUGCAGGAAGACGGCCCUAUGGGUUGUAAACUGCUUUUGUACCAGAGAAAACCUAUCUACGUGUAGAUAGCUGAUAGUAUGGUAAGAAUAAGCAUCGGCUAACUUCGUGCCAGCAGCCGCGGUAAGACGAAGGAUGCAAGCGUUAUCCGGAUUCAUUGGGUUUAAAGGGUGCGUAGGCGGGCUUGUAAGUCAGUGGUGAAAUCUCUCAGCUUAACUGAGAAACUGCCAUUGAUACUGCAGGCCUAGAGUAUAGAUGACGUUGGCGGAAUAUGACAUGUAGUGGUGGAAUACUUAGAUAUGUCAUAGAACACCGAUUGCGAAGGCAGCUUGCUAAGCUGUAACUGACGCUGAGGCACGAAAGCGUGGG
rnacentral:rRNA from 1 species